UUUAACUGGACAAUUAAUGCACGGUGGGCACGUUUUGUUAGCAAGUGAAACUGCCCAACUAUUUGGUUCCUGAUUUGACUGACUUCGAUCUCAAGCCACAUGUGUCACAGUGCCUGAUGGAAGUCAAAGCAGCUGAGACUGCUGAAUCAGGAAUAUAGUUUAAUAAAGUGAGAAAGGGCGUCUGACCUUUUCCAAACUGCUGUAUUCCUCUGCAAUGUAUUCAAGUUAGCAAAUGACUCUGUGACUUGAAACUAUAAGAGUCACUUGGUAGUUUCCAUGCUUCUCUUCUUGUUCUAGAAAUGUGACCGUUGUCAGUUAUUUGUUCAAUUAUGAUUGUUUAAGAACGUCCUAUAAUGGAAACAAUUUACAGAAACUUGUUGAGAUUGUAUGGUUAGUCGGAUAAAAACUAAUAUGCUACAUUGGUGUGGUCAUACAUUAGAUCAAAGGGUAGAUUGCAACUGCUAGUCUCAUUAACAUUAAAACUCAGUGAUGCUGUGUAUUUCUGCUUACAUCGAAGUCAAAUGCAGGUUCAGCAUAUCACAUUUGGAAAUAUAUCUGAAGUGCCUUGGUUUUAUCCCAAGGGAUAAGGCAUAACAGUACAUCAGGCCAACGACUCAAUCCCAAACAAUUUCUGUAUCUCCUUUGUGAUUAACAAAUCCAUAUUUUACACAUGCAAUUUCUACAAAUGGGUCUAAUGACGACAUGAGAUAAGUAGUGUGUAGGGUUGGGAGGUCAUUUUCUACAAGUGUGGAUGGAGAAAUAUCUACGAUUUGGAUAAGAGAGGGUGAGAGUGAGACGGAGCCCUCGUUACAGAUGGAGAUAAUGGGCAUGGAGAUGGCUGG